CAUGAAAAGAACUAGAACAUGUCUCCAAUAUUUUGUGCUGACAAUCUUGAUUAUAAUACAUCUUUUAAUCACGUUUUUAUAUGAAUAGUAUCAAUGUCGUCUUAUUUUUAUAUGAUUUUUUCCAUGUUCAAGAACGCAGUAUUCGUAUCAAAUGUCUGGAAUGUCUCGUUUCUAUUCUAAAAUGUAUGGUAGAAUGGAGCAGGGAUCUUUACUUUAAACCUGAUUCUCAGGUGGACGAUAAUUUUGAUCUGGUUGAUGGUGCACCAACAAUUUCUC